rnacentral:rRNA from 1 species
UACGGAGGGGGCGAGCGUUAUUCGGAAUUAUUGGGCGUAAAAGGGCGCGUAGGCGGCUUGGUAAGUCAAAGGUGAAAUCCCUCGGCUCAACUGAGGAAUUGCCUUUGAAACUGCCUGGCUCGAGGCCGGGAGGGGGGUAGCGGAAUUCCCAGUGUAGCGGUGAAAUGCGUAGAUAUUGGGAGGAACACCGGUGGCGAAGGCGGCUACCUGGACCGGUUCUGACGCUGAUGCGCGAAAGCGUGGGGAGCAA